GAUGAACGCUGGCGGCGUGCCUAAUACAUGCAAGUCGAGCGAAAAGACGAGGAGCUUGCUCCUUUGACGUUAGCGGAGGACGGGUGAGUAACACGUGGAUAACCUACCUAUAAGACUGGGAUAAUUUCGGGAAACCGGAGCUAAUACCGGAUAAUAUAUUGAACCGCAUGGUGCAAUAGUGAAAGACGGUUUUGCUGUCACUAAUAGAUGGAUCCGCGCCGCAUUAGCUAGUUGGUAAGGUAACGGCUUACCAAGGCAACGAUGCGUAGCCGACCUGAGAGGGUGAUCGGCCACACUGGAACUGAGACACGGUCCAGACUCCUACGGGAGGCAGCAGUAGGGAAUCUUCCGCAAUGGGCGGAAGCCUGACGGAGCAACGCCGCGUGAGUGAUGAAGGUCUUCGGAUCGUAAAACUCUGUUAUUAGGGAAGAACAAAUGUGUAAGUAACUAUGCACUUCUUGACGGUACCUAAUCAGAAAGCCACGGCUAACUACGUG
rnacentral:rRNA from 1 species